GAUGAACGCUGGCGGCGUGCUUAACACAUGCAAGUCGAACGGGAUCCAGGCAGCUUGCUGCCUGGUGAGAGUGGCGAACGGGUGAGUAAUGCGUGACCGACCUGCCCCAUACACCGGAAUAGCUCCUGGAAACGGGUGGUAAUGCCGGAUGCUCCGACUCCUCGCAUGGGGUGUCGGGAAAGAUUUCAUCGGUAUGGGAUGGGGUCGCGUCCUAUCAGGUAGUCGGCGGGGUAACGGCCCACCGAGCCUACGACGGGUAGCCGGCCUGAGAGGGCGACCGGCCACAUUGGGACUGAGAUACGGCCCAGACUCCUACGGGAGGCAGCAGUGGGGAAUAUUGCACAAUGGGCGCAAGCCUGAUGCAGCGACGCCGCGUGCGGGAUGACGGCCUUCGGGUUGUAAACCGCUUUUGAUCGGGAGCAAGCCUUCGGGUGAGUGUACCUUUCGAAUAAGCAC
rnacentral:rRNA from 1 species